rnacentral:misc_RNA from 1 species
AAGUCGUAACAAGGUCUCCGUUGGUGAACCAGCGGAGGGAUCAUUACCGAGUUUACCACAACUCCCAAAACCCCAUGUGCACCUAUACCUUUACUGUUGCUUCGGCGGGGGUCUCGACCGGGAAUCGGGGCACCCGCCGGGGGACUCCAGCGCUCUUGUGUUCCUUAGCUUGCAUGUCUGAGUGUGGGAUUGGAAUAAAAAUCAAAACUUUCAACAACGGAUCUCUUGGUUCUG